rnacentral:tRNA from 1 species
GCGGCGGCUUCGCUCGCCUGACCUGCACGGGAGCGGGUACGGCGCCCGACCCCCGAAAGGUCUUGAAAACCGUCGUGGCGCAAGUCACCGUGGGUUCAAAUCCCACACCCGCCGCG